rnacentral:rRNA from 1 species
GACGAACGCUGGCGGCGUGCCUAACACAUGCAAGUGGAGCGACGAACCGGACUUCGGUCCGGGGCAAAGCCGCGAACGGGUGAGUAACACGUGGGUAACCUGCCCCGAUGAUUGGGACAACCCGAGGAAACUCGGGCUAAUACCGAAUGUGCCCUACGGUCGCAAGACCGCUGGGGAAAGGAAGCUUCGGCCUCCGCAUCGGGAUGGGCCCGCGGCCCAUUAGCUUGUUGGUGAGGUAAAGGCUCACCAAAGGCCACGAUGGGUAGCUGGUCUGAGAGGACGAUCAGCCAC